CGGUACANAAGUAGCUUGCUACUUUGCUGACGAGCGGCGGACGGGUGAGUAAUGCUUGGGAACAUGCCUUGAGGUGGGGGACAACAGUUGGAAACGACUGCUAAUACCGCAUAAUGUCUUCGGACCAAAGGGGGCUUCGGCUCUCGCCUUUAGAUUGGCCCAAGUGGGAUUAGCUAGUUGGUGAGGUAAUGGCUCACCAAGGCAACGAUCCCUAGCUGGUUUGAGAGGAUGAUCAGCCACACUGGAACUGAGACACGGUCCAGACUCCUACGGGAGGCAGCAGUGGGGAAUAUUGCACAAUGGGCGAAAGCCUGAUGCAGCCAUGCCGCGUGUGUGAAGAAGGCCUUCGGGUUGUAAAGCACUUUCAGUCAGGAGGAAAGGGUGUGAGUUAAUACCUCANAUCUGUGACGUUACUGACAGAAGAAGCACCGGCUAACUCCGUGCCAGCAGCCGCGGUAAUACGGAGGGUGCGAGCGUUAAUCGGAAUUACUGGGCGUAAAGCGUACGCAGGCGGUUUGUUAAGCGAGAUGUGAAAGCCCCGGGCUCAACCUGGGAACUGCAUUUCGAACUGGCAAACUAGAGUGUGAUAGAGGGUGGUAGAAUUUCAGGUGUAGCGGUGAAAUGCGUAGAGAUCUGAANGAAUACCGAUGGCGAANGCAGCCACCUGGGUCAACACUGACGCUCAUGUACNAAAGCGUGGGGAGCAAACGGGANUANAUACCCCGGUAGUCCNCGCCGNAAAC
rnacentral:rRNA from 1 species